rnacentral:rRNA from 1 species
UUGCUGGAACGCGCUUCGGCGCACCCAGAAACCCUUUGUGAACUUAUACCUAUUGUUGCCUCGGCGUAGGCCGGCCUCUUCACUGAGGCCCCCUGGAAACAGGGAGCAGCCCGCCGGCGGCCAACCAAACUCUUGUUUCUACAGUGAAUCUCUGAGUAAAAAACAUAAAUGAAUCAAAACUUUCAACAACGGAUCUCUUGGUUCUGGCAUCGAUGAAGAACGCAGCGAAAUGCGAUAAGUAAUGUGAAUUGCAGAAUUCAGUGAAUCAUCGAAUCUUUGGCGCCCUCUGGUAUUCCGGAGGGCAUGCCUGUUCGAGCGUCAUUUCAACCCUCAAGCCUGGCUUGGUGAUGGGGCACUGCUUUCGUCCAGAAAGCAGGCCCUGAAAUCUAGUGGCGAGCUCGCCAGGACCCCGAGCGUAGUAGUCAUAUCUCGCUCUGGAAGGCCCUGGCGGUGCCCUGCCGUUAUUGACCUCGGAUCAGGUAGGAAUACCCGCUGAACUUAAGCAUAUC